rnacentral:piRNA from 1 species
UCACAGGCAUGCCCAGAAGGUCUCCUCCAU